rnacentral:rRNA from 1 species
AACGUAGGAGACAAACGUUAUCCGGAGUUACUGGGCGUAAAGGGCGUGUAGGCGGUUAGUUAAGUCUGGCGUGAAAGCUCUCGGCUAAACCGGGAGAGGUCGUUGGAUACUGGCAAACUAGAGGACGGUAGAGGCGUGUGGAAUUCCGGGUGUAGUGGUGAAAUGCGUAGAGAUGUGGAGGAACACCAGUGGCGAAGGCGACUCUUUGGCCUGUAACUGACGCUGAGGCGCGAAAGCGUGGGGAGCAAACAGG